CACUGUUUAAAAAUGUGUACCUUAUUUCUAGUCUGAAUUUAUCUAACUUCAGCUGCCAGCCAUUGGAUCUUAUUUUACCUUUAUCUGCAGGAUUGAAGAGCCCAUUAUCAAAUUUCUGGUUCCCCUAUAGGUACUUAUGAAGCGUGGUCAAGUAAACACCUCUUAAGCUGGUCUUUGUUAAGCUAAAUAAAGUUCCUUGAGUCUAUCACUAUAAGGCAUGUUUUCCAAUCCCUUAAUUGGUCUUGUAGCUCUUCUCUGAACACACUCCAAUCAAUCAAUGUACAUCUUGAAUUGUGAACACUAGAACUAGACAUUCCAGCAGCAAUUGCACCCAUGCCAAAAACAGAGGUAGUAUAACCUUCCUACUUUUACUGAAAUUCCCCUGUUUAAACAUCUAUGGAUAGUCCUUUUGGCCACAGCAUCAUACUGGGAGCUUACAUUCAUCUAAUUAUCCAUCGGCAUAUGAGGUGGCCCAUGGGUACUACUUCAUCAUUAGUGAGGAACAGGUUACCUUCAGCUGAGCUUCACUGCAGGUGUUCAGCGCAAGAGCUAUCAGAGUGGUUAAGGCAAGAAGAGUAUGGGUUCGCACCUGGGUUCAUAGGACUGGCUUGAGUCCCAUGCCGGGGGAGUUUUCUGUUUACGUUCUAUUUGUGUUAACUGAUUGUAUUCUCUUGAUCCCUGGAGGAAAAGACUUGAUGCUCUGUGGCUGGUUUUGACCCUGCCAAGUCAGCCCACCAGCUGACAAUGCUGAUUUCCAGUGAGUGCCGCAGGAGGGCCAGUCAGAGAAUGUUUAACCGGUUCAAAUACAAACUACUUAUACCCGUAACUCUAACAGGAUGGCCAGCUCAUUUAAUACCCAGGUGGCUUGGGGCCAGUCAGCCCUCCUUAAUUAGCCCUUCCCUGCUAUGUCUCUGUAGGUUUUGGGACUUAAAAGGAGGAAAAGGCUUCAGGAAUGGAAAUCCCUGGGCAAAGCUACCAGUGAAGAGGGAGAGGAGGCAACUAGGAUUGACUGAAUAGCUAUUGAUUGACUGAAUUAUUGGACGUGAGGAAAAGAAGUGCUCGGAAGAUAAAGCGAACAGCUGUACAGAAGCAGCAAACGAAUGUCUGGACCUCAGUUCUGCAGUUCAGAUAAUUGAGAAUGUGUGUCAGACAGGACUUGAGAGGAAGUAUAGAUUGGUGGCUGCAUCAAGCCUAGAAGCGCUUCCACUUCUACAAGACCUUGAGCAAUAAAAACAUCAGGGAUUAAGUGUACAGCAAUACAUAAGGCCAAGGAAUGAUUUUGGCAUAUCCCAUUGAAUUGCAGCCAUGCCCUCCCUUCAAGCAGAAUUAUCUGCAUUUCUAAUUGGACAGAAUGCAAAGAGAUCUGUCUCCAGAUGACUCCAGCAUGUUCUACCUACUCGGGAUCAGAUACUUCACAGGGUGAAAAAGGAAAGGAACUGAGAAGAGAAAUAGCUGAUGGCAGCAAAACAGCCCUUUAAAUGUCUGAAAAUGAGGCAGUGUCCCCACUUCAACUCCACCCUAUCCACAAAACGAUCCAAAGCUGCGGUUCUCCUCUCUGAAGUUGGACAAUCAACUUAAUAUGUUCACAUUUUCUAUUCAUCAGCAUGUAUCCCCACAAGCAGCCUUAAUAAAUGGUGGCGUGUAAAGGAACCCCCAGGUGAUGCAGCAGCAUCCAAUGGCAGAAUAGAGCCCACCUGCCUACUCUCACCACAUCUAGUGGUGGGACCUUGGAGUAUGGGCAGGUUUUUGUCACAUACACAAAUUCCCUGCAAAAGCCACUUUCGAACCGUGCUGUGUGGUGUACAGUCUCCACUGUGUGAUUUCCCCUCAAGCCGCCUUGUCUAGGGGCAUUUCACUGGUUCUGCUGAAUUUGAGGUCCUGACAGUCCUUAAUCAACAACUGGCUGACUCUUUCUGUUCCAAGGGAGAAGGGCUCUUAUGGCAUUGUAUUCAUAUUUGUAUGUUUCCAUAAUCUUGCCAUGUUCUCCUGUUGAGAAUCAGCAGAUGUUAAGAAUCCAAGAUCCAACACAAAGUUCCAUCUCUGUGCAAUUAAAAUGGCAUAGUUAAAAAAAAUAAGCACCUCAGCCACAUUCUGAAAUAUGAUAAUAUUCCAUUGACAUGUGGAUGCUCAAGGUUCCUGCUAUGCAGGCCCAGGAACAGUGAAUCACACCGAGAAAACAUGGAAAAAAGAGACGUAUUUUGUGGGCCAAAUUUUCAAAUGCAUACAGAGUAAUCAGAUAUUCAGAGUCUGCAUUUGGAUAUUUCAACUGGUUACUGGCUUCAUAAAAUGUGUGCAAGUAUCAAUCUCAGGAGCUAAAUGAAGGAUUUGGAUAUCAAUAAUCUGACAGCCACUUUUGCAACCUAAGCAGGCAGAAGGGCUCACAUGCUUCUCUAGUCUUCCACAGCCAGAAAGCAUGUAAAUUAUCAUUUUUUGUAGCAACCUCUGGUUUAAUAAUUAUUUAUUAGCUGACAUGCUUUUAGUAUCACAUGGUCUUUAACUACGGCUUUCACAAAACACUUCAAAUGUUUUAUCUAACUGAUGCUGCAAAUUCAAUAU